GCCGGCAUGCCAGAACGGUUAAUGGGCGUGUCUCGAAAACACGUGUCCGAAAGGACGCCUAGGUUCGAAUCCUAGUGCCGGCG
rnacentral:tRNA from 1 species